ACUCUGGCGGGUUAGCGGCGGACGGGUGAGUAACACGUAGGCAACCUGGCUGUAAGAUCGGGAUAACCCACGGAAACGUGAGCUAAGACCGGAUAGUCUGUUUGGUCGCAUGGCCGGACAGUGGAAACACGGCGCAAGCUGUGGCUUACAGAUGGGCCUGCGGCGCAUUAGCUAGUAGGUAGGGUAACGGCCUACCUAGGCGACGAUGCGUAGCCGACCUGAGAGGGUGAGCGGCCACACUGGGACUGAGACACGGCCCAGACUCCUACGGGAGGCAGCAGUAGGGAAUCUUCCGCAAUGGACGAAAGUCUGACGGAGCAACGCCGCGUGAGUGAGGAAGGUUUUCGGAUCGUAAAACUCUGUUGCCAGGGACGAAUGCCUUGGAGAGUAACUGCUCUAAGGGUGACGGUACCUGAGAAGAAAGCCCCGGCUAACUACGUGCCAGCAGCCGCGGUAAUACGUAGGGGGCAAGCGUUGUCCGGAAUUAUUGGGCGUAAAGCGCGCGCAGGCGGUCAUGUAAGUCUGGUGUUUAAGCCCGGGGCUCAACCCCGGUACGCACUGGAAACUGGGUGACUGGAGU
rnacentral:rRNA from 1 species